rnacentral:rRNA from 1 species
UCAUCUUCGGGGGUAGAGCACUGUUUCGGCUAGGGGGUCAUCCCGACUUACCAACCCGAUGCAAACUACGAAUACCGAAGAAUGUUAUCACGGGAGACACACGGCGGGUGCUAACGUCCGUCGUGAAGAGGGAAACAACCCAGACCGCCAGCUAAGGUCCCAAAGUCAUGGUUAAGUGGGAAACGAUGUGGGAAGGCACAGACAGCCAGGAUGUUGGCUUAGAAGCAGCCAUCAUUUAAAGAAAGCGUAAUAGCUCACUGGUCGAGUCGGCCUGCGCGGAAGAUGUAACGGGGCUAAACCAUGCACCGAAGCUGCGGCAGCGACACUAUGUGUUGUUGGGUAGGGGAGCGUUCUGUAAGCCUGCGAAGGUGACCUGUGAGGGUUGCUGGAGGUAUCAGAAGUGCGAAUGCUGACAUAAGUAACGAUAAAGCGGGUGAAAAGCCCGCUCGCCGGAAGACCAAGGGUUCCUGUCCAACGUUAAUCGGGGCAGGGUGAGUCGACCCCUAAGGCGAGGCCGAAAGGCGUAGUCGAUGGGAAACAGGUUAAUAUUCCUGUACUUGGUGUUACUGCGAAGGGGGGACGGAGAAGGCUAUGUUAGCCGGGCGACGGUUGUCCCGGUUUAAGCAUGUAGGCUGGUUGUCCAGGCAAAUCCGGAUAAUCAAGGCUGAGGUGUGAUGACGAGGCACUACGGUGCUGAAGUAACAAAUGCCCUGCUUCCAGGAAAAGCCUCUAAGCAUCAGGUAACAUCAAAUCGUACCCCAAACCGACACAGGUGGUCAGGUAGAGAAUACCAAGGCGCUUGAGAGAACUC